GAGGGGAUAGCUCAGUGGUAGAGCACGUACUUAGCAUGAGUGAGGUCCUGGGUUCAAUUCCCAGUACCUCCA
rnacentral:tRNA from 1 species